rnacentral:rRNA from 1 species
AAUAGAUACCCAGGUAGUCCAUGCCGUAAACGAUGAGUACUAGCUGUCUGGGGUAUCGACUCCCUGGGUAGCGCAGCUAACGCGAUAAGUACUCCGCCUGGGGACUACGGCCGCAAGGCUAAAACUCAAAGGAAUUGACGGGGGCCCGCACAAGCAGCGGAGCGUGCGGUUUAAUUCGAAGCUACGCGAAGAACCUUACCAGGGCUUGACAUGACCCUGACCGCCGGUGAAAGCCGGUUUCCCUUCGGGGCAGGGCCACAGAUGCUGCAUGGCUGCCGUCAGCUCGUGCCGUGAGGUGUUGGGUUAAGUCCCGCAACGAGCGCAACCCUCGUCGUGUGUUGGAUUUCUCACACGAGACUGCCCGGAGCAACCGGGAGGAAGGCGGGGAGUGACGUCAAGUCAGCAUGGCUCUUACGUCCUGGGCUACUCGCACGCUACAAUGGGCAGUACAGACCGUUGCGAUACCGCGAGGUGGAGCUAAUCGGACAAAACUGUCCUCAGUACGGAUUGCAGGCUGCAACUCG